CGAAAAGAGAGAUUCAACGUCAGCAUGUAUAGUAUUGACGUGAGUAGUGAUGUCAGUUUUAAUGGUGGGGUAAACCUAAACAAUUAUGCCUGACACAUUUUCAUGUUAUUUUUAUUGCUGUACUACUGUCGGCGUGCACUUCUCUCUUAGUAGGACGUCCCGACCCGUUAAGUCUUAGCCUACGGCCCAAAUGGAUGCCUUUAAUAUUUUUAUAUUAAAAUCCUUUGGUGUCACCUGGCCUAAGUGCUUGACGGUGAAAAUUGAUUUGGUAUUAAGCCGCAAUUUAUUGUGCGUCCGGCCUGUCGCAAGUUUAUUGACAAUUUCUGUACACAUAGACUAUGUCCUAAGUGUAUGGUAUUGUUGGCUGUUUGCAUGACUGUGCUCUUGGANNNNNNGCUUAGUAUAUACCUGU
rnacentral:rRNA from 1 species